GAGCUUGGCGGUGUUUUAGACCUCUCAGGGGAACCUGUCUCAUAAUCGACAAUCCACGUUAAACCUAACCUUUGAUAGCAAUUCAGCCUGUAUACCGUUGUCGUAAGGUAACUUCUUAAAAUAUAGUAGUUAGCUUGAAAAUUUUAUUAAUUAAAACGUCAAAUCAAGGUGCAGCUAAUAAAAAGGUGAAGAUGGGUUACAAUUACAUAUUUGUAAAUACGGAUAAACAUUUGAAAGAAUGCCUUAAAGGAGGACUUGAAAGUAAUUUUAAUUAUAUAAACAAAAUGAAUGAGGCUCUGAAACGUGCACACAUCGCCCGUCGCUCUCGUUGAAAAAUGAGAUAAGUCGUAACAUAGUAGGGGUAAUGGAAAUUGUUCCUAGGC
rnacentral:rRNA from 6 species